UCCAUGCUUGACGGGGGAGGAGGAAGGG
rnacentral:sRNA from 1 species